AACUUUCAACAACGGAUCUCUUGGUUCUGGCAUCGAUGAAGAACGCAGCGAAAUGCGAUAAGUAAUGUGAAUUGCAGAAUUCCGUGAAUCAUCGAAUCUUUGAACGCACAUUGCGCCCGCCAGUAUUCUGGCGGGCAUGCCUGUUCGAGCGUCAUUUCA
rnacentral:rRNA from 1 species